CAAUUAAGACCUUGAAGCAAGAAGGAUCUUUGUAGUCCUGCCUGUCCCAGAAACUGCAUGCAGUGCUCCUGUCACCUGAGAGAAGGGUUUAGGUGUCCACACUGCACACCCAGGCCAUUCAUGUGAAGGAAUCCUGGCCCAUGUGAUGCUCUAUUGGCCUCCACUCCUCACCAUCAUGGCUCCACAGAAACAGAGGAAGUGCCGAAGUCUGUCUACUGCAGUAUCCUGUCUCCAACAGUGGCUCCAAGGUUUGCACACAGGCACUACGAUUCAGUCUCUGCAGCCACAUGAAAUACAGACUUCUCCAAAGAGAGAGCCACUGAGCAGACCCAAAGAAAUAGUCUUUCUUCAAUUGUGUUCAAUCAAAAGCUAUCAGCAACUGAAGUAAGCACACUGGGUAAAAUGUAUCCCUGUGUAUGGAAUCCUUACAAGAUCUAUGUGCCAAUUAAAUCCCUCUUAAGCUUUGUGUGGGUCAUUUGCACAAGGUUGAAUUUCACUCAUAGCAUAUUCCUCACAAGCCAAACAGUUAUGCAUGAUGGCUAUUUAUUAUCCUUGAUCAUGAUUAUUGUUAUAUUUAUAACAACAUUU
rnacentral:lncRNA from 1 species